rnacentral:lncRNA from 1 species
ACCAUGUCCCUCUGCUUCAGGACGUUCUCUUGCCAUUCUUUGGAGGAUGCUCUGUUCCUUUGUGGAGCAGUCAGGAAGAGCUGGAGAAUUCACGUCCCGGGAGCAAUCUUCACCCAACGACAGAUGAAAGGAAGCUGGUGGAUAAAUACCUAGAUUCUUCCUCCCUCAGGGAGGAGAGGGGAUUUGGAGGUGUGCGUUACGCAGUCCAUCAGAGGUUCCUCAGAGGGAUUGAGCCCCAGCAGUAAAAUCCCCAAGAAUACAACUAUCAUGAGCUUCUCUCCCUUCUCUGUUACCUCCACCUCCCUCCCUCAUAGCUUCCUGGGAUCUCUUCCCAAAGAAAAUACCCUUGCAUCCAAUCCCUGGCUUUAGGAACACCUUUGCUUAGAGUAAAGAAAAUAGGACUCAAGAAAUUUAUUGGCUAUGGCAGAGUAGGAUAAAAGGAAACAUUGGUGAUGGCACCAGUUGUCUGACCCUUAGAGCAAGACAAAUGUUGAAGGCAUUGUCUAACUAGAGAUCAUCAGAGAAGGACUGGGUUUUUGGAGGGAGUCCAUGAGAUCCAUGUUUUAACAUUUUGUGCUUGAUUUCCUAUAGAGACACCCAAUUGCAACAUCGAGGAGGCAAUUUUUUGCACAAAUAUAGGUUAGAGCUAUAUGAAUUCGAAAAUCAUUAGUAUAUGUAUGGUGGUAGGAUUGUGGAUGAAAUUGCCCAGGCAGAGGGCAUAUAUUAACAUGAGGAUCUAGAAGGGAGCCAGAAGAAACCUCACAUUUAACGGCCAGUUAGAAGAGAAUGCACUUGCAGAGAAGACAGAAAAGGAGCAGGGGGAGGCUAACUAGGAGAAGGGUUAAUGACACUGACCUCCAACACCUGCAGUUCUGUUCAUUUAAUCUACAUCACUUGACCAGUAAAGAGUGUGACUAAUAACACUGUGCAUAUAUGGCUUAUUACCUUAUUGGUCCAUCACUGCUAUUUGGGGCUCAUAAAUGUUUUAUUACUAAUAUCUGCUAAAUAUUAAGGAAUUUUAUUGGGUCAGUGAUGAGAUCUGAGAAACUGUUCUAUUGUAUGUGAAUACUCAGAACUCAAAUGAUGAUCUCAUGACUGGAAAUCUUCCAGGAUAUUGGAUCAGGUAGCUGAAAGAAAAAAGCAUACUUUUUAUAAGCCAUCUGGUAUAUUAUAUUGCAUUAUAUUGCAAUAUAUUGGAAAGUAUGGCUUGAACUUUCCUUUGAUCUGAAACUACUUUGGAAUUACUCUUUAUUAUUCAAACUUCCAUCAAUUGCCAUCCUCAGAGAAUUUGUUAACCCUAAAUUCUGAAUCUAAUUCUUUCUUAACACUUCAUAAGCUGAUGUUUCAAUUCUAUCAACAUUUUUUAAGUGGAACCAAUCGACUUGCAAAAUCUAUGGGAAAGUUCAGUCAUUUUCCUUCUGGUUCUCAAUGUAUAAAGGCCCUUCCAGUCAGGUUUGUGUCUCCACAAUCUCAUGAAUGCUCAUUUGGAUUUUUUUGAUGCACAUUUUUAGAUCCUUUUCUCCAACUGAAAAUGGUUUGAUUACUCCUUUCUUCUGUCCAAAUCAUAGCCAACUAUCAAGGAUGGGCUAGUUCCCAAGUCUUCCAUGGCUCUUCAACUAGUGGAGCCAACAGUUUUAAUGAUGGUCAUAUGUUGAGUUGACUGCAAUAUAAUACAUAUGUUUAUUUUGCAAGUUUUGUGUAUUCUUUAACUCUUCAGCAAGAUUACAAACUAGUGGAGAACAGAUGUUUCCUAUCUAUUCACACUAGUCUACCACACUGAUAGGUUUUUCGUCAGUCAGGUUAGAUCUGAAUUUAAUUUGCAGUGCUCAUUCUCUUUGAGAAUUAAUCCCAAUUCCUUAAGUUCUCUAUGUCUGCAUUUCCUCAUCUGCAAAAUGAA